ACGUUAUGUAAGCAAUGGUGAAUUUCCCAAUUUGAGGAGACAUGCAUUGAAAUAUGCAUCUGUGUUUGGAACAAAUUACUGCUGCGAGCAGUUCUUUUCAAAACUUACCAUCGCAAAGAGUCGACUGCGCUCCAGACUGACAGACGCAAACCUGGAAAAGCAGCUGCGAGUAACAUCAUCAAUACCAGCUAACAUCACACGCCUCACCAAAGAGAAGCAGUUCCAGCCAUCACAUUAGGGGUUACUAAAAGCCUGGGAUGGUGCGAGCUCCAAGCGUGACCCAGCUGCGUUCCUCAGGGCCAUUCCCUGCCCAGUCCACCAGGUACUGGACCCAGCCCCACCAUAGCUGGGAGUCCAGGAUCAACUCCACUCGAUAUGCCGGAACGCCAGCCACCUCCACCCGGGGAACCAACGACCUGAGGAGAGAGACAUGGAAGGAAACAAGAUUAUAUUUUAGUAAACCGAGACAUCAUUGAUGCUCUACUGGCAGUCCUCACUCACAAUUCACUGCUAGUACCAGUUCGCGCCUGGUUUGGAGACAGGACCAAACUAUUUUCAUGUGGGGUGAGCAAUGCACAAUACAGAGGCUAUCUGGAUGUUCACAUUUUGCCAAAAACAAGAAAAUAGGAUAGGUGG
ensembl:lncRNA